rnacentral:lncRNA from 1 species
CUUAUGCAGAUGAUGAAAUUGCAUGAGGGAUCUUAGGGUCAAAAUUGGGGUCUUACAGGUGCUAACACCUUCCCUCUGUGUAACCAACCCCCUUACCUGUAAUCUCUGGCAUUUUAUUAGUUUUGAUUCGAAAACUUCUUAUCUUUGGGUUUUGUUCGUACUUUUCCCAUUUCCCUUGGAAAUAAUAAAAGUGCGGUGGCGACUCUGGUUUAAUUGACGUCUAGCUUAUCCAUAGCUUGAUGGUCAUGAAUUUACCGCUAUAGUAGUCCCU